rnacentral:tRNA from 1 species
GCCUGUGUGGCUCAGUUGGUUAAGCAUCCGACUUUGGCUCAGGUUGCAAUUUGUGGGUUUGAACCCCACGUCAGGCU